GAUGAUAAAGGUGGAAUCUUGGAAGAUCGGUUUGCAGAAAAAGGGAAGAAGAAAAGGAGAAUUUGUGAAAUGGGUUGGUUGAGUGAUCCAUUAGUUGUUCUUGGGACAGAUGUUAUGUUGAUGAUUUUGAGCUGUCUAGACGCACGCAGCGUGGCACUGUGUCUCCUUGUAUCUCGUGGAUGGAGGGCUGUUGCUUCUUCUGAUAAGAUUUGGAGCUCCAAGCUGCAGGUCCUCUCUGAACAUUUCUAGUUGGUUUGUUGGGAAGAUGAUAAAUUGUUGAAGAUGAAUUGUCUCUUUAUGUUUCUUGCUCUUAAUUGCUUUACCAGUGUGAAGAAUUAUGGCGAGGCAAAACACAUUUACCUCGGUUAGCAAAAGUAAAUGAUUUGUCGAAGUUGGUCGUUUACUCACUGUCUGUAAUGGAUGGUAAACGUAAGCGAAUAAGAAAGGAGGAUUUGUAUGAUCAUGUGUGGGAGUUCCAUUUCACCGAGGUAUGAGCCUAUUUAUAUUCCUUCUUUCUAAGUCUUACUUGCCAAUUUUGGAAGUCCAUGAAUAGGCAUUAUCCACCCAUAUAAAUCAUGCAUGGCUGCAGCUCGCACCAAAUUGAGUAGAUAUAGUUUGUACGUGCUUGAGAAAACUUAAAUCUGUACGAUUGAAGUUAAAACGUCCGUUUGAGGGUCGGUCUUUGUGUAGCUUUGCAAGUAGUUGGUAAGACUGCAUAAUACCUUCAUUUCUUGUUCAUUAUGUUUAACUUUUUGUUCUUCACUGGUCAGUUUCAUAGAGCUUUUGCCAAAAUUGAAAACGGUUUGCAUGGUUCUGUAUCCUGUAAGUGCUAUUUGAACCACUUCUGCUGCUGCCUUUGAUUGCUAUUUCUUCACAGUUUAAUGCAUCUGGAUUCAAUAAAGCUUUGAUUGGAAACUAGAGGAAGGAAGAGAAGUUUUUUGGUUUGACAAGAGAGUGAAAAAAACGAAGUGAAGCAGAUUUCCCUCUUUCCUUUCGCUAGUUUCCGUCAUAGGAUAACAAAGAUAAAACAUAAUCCUUGUAUAACUACAACCUAUACUACUUGUGUGGACGAAUCCUUAGGCGGCUCCUGAGUACUGGCGAAUGCUCGAUCCCUACAGGAAUGGAACUGGACGUCCCCUGCGCCGUUAUUUUCUUCCAGAUGGAAGUCAGACUGCAGAACCAGAUGACAAGAUAUGGGGUGGUCAUGAAUCUUGCUACUCCAUAGUAACUAGCUUGCUUGCAGAUGGAAAUAUAAGAGAACACUACGUGAGGAUAAACCGUUGGCCGCCUAUGUAUGUGACAA